rnacentral:lncRNA from 1 species
CAGAUCGGAUAUACUUAAAAUCUUAUAUAGUUUAAUAAAAAAAUUAUGCAUUGGAAUAGAGACCCAAAAAUUAAAAAUUUUAUAGCCAAAAAAUAAUCUUUUCGAUCAAAAAUUUCCAACCCUACAAAAUAACAUGCUUCUACCAAGAUUUAAGCUCUAAAAACCUCAAGGAACUGACUCACACUAGUACAACUCGGAUAGAAUCCCACA